rnacentral:piRNA from 1 species
CGUGAUGUACGUCUUAAGUGUAGGACUCUC